UUCCCAGAGGCCGACGGGGUCAAUCAUAGGGAACGCAUGAGGCCGCAGAGGAGCGACUGGCCAACCCAUCACAAACACAUCGCUUGAGCUCGACUGGUUGCUAGGCUCAGUAACAUCUGUGCCGGACUGAAGGAGACUCCACACUCACGAGAUGACAAUAAGGAUGAGUUUAUUUCCACACACACACACACUCUCACUCUCACACACGCACACACACAGUUUAAAUUGCAGGGAAACUCGUGCAUGGACUCUCAGUCUCCAGCUGGUGGCGCUGUGAGCUCACACUGAUAGAGCCGGUCCUGAACUCUCACUCUCUCUCUCUCUCACACACACACACACAGACGGUCUUGAACUCUAGCUCAUCUCAUGUUCUCCACUGAGAGUGUGUGUGUACUUUUAGUUUAUCAUAGGUUUAAAUAAAGCAAAAUAAACAAAUUAGUUCAACCAGUGUUUGUAGAGUAAGUGUUUUACUGUAGAGUUUACAUGAACCUUCCCAGAUUUACAGUAAACUGAUAUUCCUGCCGUCGGGAAGCUCUCGUUGUCUUCCUGAUCGCACUGCUGACCGGCUGUAAAGUCAUAACGCCGUAAGCUCAACACUGACACAUCAACCAAUAAAAUAUAAAGUCUCUAUUAGAAACAAAGAGAACACAACAUUUCAGAUAAAUCUGAUAGAUAUUAAUUUAACAAUGAAAGAUAAGAGCUAUAAUCGUAAGGACAGAGUGUUCUGUAAGUGAAGGAAAUUAUAUGAUACAACAAUCUGCUACUGUACAGGAUCUGUUUCGAUCCACAUUAUUAUUAUGGCAGACAAACUUAUGACAGACUAGCCUUAUGAGAUAAAAGUUAAAAUUGCAACUUUCUAUGUCAUAAUAAUACAAAUUUUAAUGGCAUGAUUAGGACUUUUUGAGUAAUAAUCCCAAAUAAA